rnacentral:tRNA from 1 species
GUGAGAGUGCCUGAGUAUGGUCAAAAGGGACAGACUUAGAAUCUGUUAACUGUAGAUUUUUCUGGGGUUCAAAUCCCCACUCUCACA